rnacentral:rRNA from 1 species
GACAGAGGGUGCAAACGUUGUUCGGAAUUACUGGGCGUAAAGCGCGUGUAGGCUGCUCUGUGUGUCGGAUGUGAAAGCCCCGGGCUCAACCUGGGAAGUGCACUCGAAACUACAGAGCUGGAGUCUCGGAGAGGGUCGCGGAAUUCUCGGUGUAGAGGUGAAAUUCGUAGAUAUCGAGAGGAACACCGGUGGCGAAGGCGGCGACCUGGACGAUGACUGACGCUGGAGACGCGAAAGCGUGGGGAGCAAACAGG